rnacentral:rRNA from 1 species
GACGAACGCUGGCGGCGUGCCUAAUACAUGCAAGUCGAGCGGACAGAUGGGAGCUUGCUCCCUGAUGUUAGCGGCGGACGGGUGAGUAACACGUGGGUAACCUGCCUGUAAGACUGGGAUAACUCCGGGAAACCGGGGCUAAUACCGGAUGGUUGUUUGAACCGCAUGGUUCAAACAUAAAAGGUGGCUUCGGCUACCACUUGCAGAUGGACCCGCGGCGCAUUGGCUAGUUGGUGAGGUAAUGGCUCACCAAGGCAACGAUGCGUAGCAGACCUGAGAGGGUGAUCGGCCACACUGGGACUGAGACACGGCCCAGACUCCUACGGGAGGAAGCAGUAGGGAAUCUUCCGCAAUGGACGAAAGUCUGACGGAGCAACGCCGCGUGAGUGAUGAAGGUUUUCGGAUCGUAAAGCUCUGUUGUUAGGGAAGAACAAGUGCCGUUCGAAUAGGGCGGUACCUUGACGGUACCUAACCAGAAAGCCACGGCUAACUACGUGCCAGCCGCCGCCGUAA